rnacentral:rRNA from 1 species
GUGGGGAAUUUUGGACAAUGGGCGCAAGCCCGAUCCAGCAAUGCCGCGUGCAGGAAGAAGGCCUUCGGGUUGUAAACUGCUUUUGUACGGAACGAAAAGGCUCUGGUUAAUACCUGGGGCUCAUGACGGUACCGUAAGAAUAAGCACCGGCUAACUACGUGCCAGCAGCCGCGGUAAUACGUAGGGUGCAAGCGUUAAUCGGAAUUACUGGGCGUAAAGCGUGCGCAGGCGGUUUUGUAAGACAGGCGUGAAAUCCCCGGGCUCAACCUGGGAAUGGCGCUUGUGACUGCAAGGCUGGAGUGCGGCAGAGGGGGAUGGAAUUCCGCGUGUAGCAGUGAAAUGCGUAGAUAUGCGGAGGAACACCGAUGGCGAAGGCAAUCCCCUGGGCCUGCACUGACGCUCAUGCACGAAAGCGUGGGGAGCAAACAGGAUUAGAUACCCCUGUAGUCC